AGAGUUUGAUCCUGGCUCAGGACGAACGCUGGCGGCGUGCCUAACACAUGCAAGUCGAACGGGACCGGGGGCAACUCCGGUUCAGUGGCGAACGGGUGCGUAACACGUGAGGAACUUGUCUUUCGGCGGGGGAUAGCCGGCCCAACGGCCGGGUAAUACCGCGUACGCUCUUCGGGGGGCAUCUCCUGGAGAGGAAAGCAGCAAUGCACCGAAAGAGGGCCUCGCGGCCUAUCAGCUAGUUGGUGAGGUCAUGGCUCACCAAGGCGACGACGGGUAGCUGGUCUGAGAGGAUGGCCAGCCACAUUGGGACUGAGACACGGCCCAGACUCCUACGGGAGGCAGCAGUGGGGAAUCUUGCGCAAUGGGCGAAAGCCUGACGCAGCGACGCCGCGUGUGGGAUGACGGCCUUCGGGUUGUAAACCACUGUCGGGAGGGACGAAGCUCUGACGUACCUCCAAAGAAGCACC
rnacentral:rRNA from 1 species